rnacentral:rRNA from 1 species
UACGUAGGCAGCAAGCGUUGUUCGGAGUUACUGGGCGUAAAGAGUGCGUAGGCGGUCCUGUAAGUUUGGUGUGAAAUCUCCCGGCUCAACUGGGAGGGUGCGCCGAAGACUGCAGGGCUUGAGUAUGGGAGAGGUAAGCGGAAUUCCUGGUGUAGCGGUGAAAUGCGUAGAUAUCAGGAGGAACACCUGUGGUGUAGACGGCUUUCUGGACCAUAGCUGACGCUGAGACACGAAAGCGUGGGUAGCAAACAGG